UACGGAGGGUGCGAGCGUUGUCCGGAAUCACUGGGCGUAAAGGGCGCGUAGGCGGUCUGCUAAGCGUGCGGUGAAAGCCUGGGGCUCAACCCCAGGUCUGCCGUGCGAACUGGUGGACUAGAGCACUGUAGAGGCAGGCGGAAUUCCGGGUGUAGCGGUGGAAUGCGUAGAGAUCCGGAAGAACACCGGUGGCGAAGGCGGCCUGCUGGGCAGUUGCUGACGCUGAGGCGCGACAGCGUGGGGAGCAAACAGG
rnacentral:rRNA from 1 species